AUGCCUUGGAGAUCACACCGGACCGCAGCAUGAUUGCUGCUGCAGGUUACCAGCACAUCCGCAUGUAUGAUCUCAACUCCAAUAACCCUAACCCCAUCAUCAGCUACGACGGCGUCAACAAGAACAUCGCGUCUGUGGGCUUCCACGAAGACGGCCGCUGGAUGUACACGGGCGGCGAGGACUGCACAGCCAGGAUCUGGGACCUCAGGUCCCGGAACCUGCAGUGCCAGCGGAUCUUCCAGGUGAACGCACCCAUUAACUGCGUGUGCCUGCACCCCAACCAGGCAGAGCUCAUCGUGGGUGACCAGAGCGGGGCUAUCCACAUCUGGGACUUGAAAACAGACCACAACGAGCAGCUGAUCCCUGAGCCCGAGGUCUCCAUCACGUCCGCCCACAUCGAUCCCGACGCCAGCUACAUGGCAGCUGUCAAUAGCACUUGCAUCACUUGUACCUCUUGCCCCCGGAUUUCCCUUCUGCUGGCCUUUGUCAUGCUGUCCCUCUAGCUGGUGCCCUUCUCCUGUCUACUUCCGUUGGCCAUCGGCAUCCUCCAGGAAGGG
rnacentral:sRNA from 1 species